rnacentral:rRNA from 2 species
GCAGUCGACGAACUCUGGUAUUGAUUGGUGCUUGCAUCAUGAUUUACAUUUGAGUGAGUGGCGAACUGGUGAGUAACACGUGGGAAACCUGCCCAGAAGCGGGGGAUAACACCUGGAAACAGAUGCUAAUACCGCAUAACAACUUGGACCGCAUGGUCCGAGUUUGAAAGAUGGCUUCGGCUAUCACUUUUGGAUGGUCCCGCGGCGUAUUAGCUAGAUGGUGGGGUAACGGCUCACCAUGGCAAUGAUACGUAGCCGACCUGAGAGGGUAAUCGGCCACAUUGGGACUGAGACACGGCCCAAACUCCUACGGGAGGCAGCAGUAGGGAAUCUUCCACAAUGGACGAAAGUCUGAUGGAGCAACGCCGCGUGAGUGAAGAAGGGUUUCGGCUCGUAAAACUCUGUUGUUAAAGAAGAACAUAUCUGAGAGUAACUGUUCAGGUAUUGACGGUAUUUAACCAGAAAGCCACGGCUAACUACGUGCCAGCAGCCGCGGUAAUACGUAGGUGGCAAGCGUUGUCCGGAUUUAUUGGGCGUAAAGCGAGCGCAGGCGGUUUUUUAAGUCUGAUGUGAAAGCCUUCGGGCUCAACCGAAGAAGUGCAUCGGAAACUGGGAAACUUGAGUGCAGAAGAGGACAGUGGAACUCCAUGUGUAGCGGUGAAAUGCGUAGAUAUAUGGAAGAACACCAGUGGCGAAGGCGGCUGUCUGGUCUGUAACUGACGCUGAGGCUCGAAAGUAUGGGUAGCAAACAGGAUUAGAUACCCUGGUAGUCCAUACCGUAAACGAUGAAUGCUAAGUGUUGGAGGGUUUCCGCCCUUCAGUGCUGCAGCUAACGCAUUAAGCAUUCCGCCUGGGGAGUACGGCCGCAAGGCUGAAACUCAAAGGAAUUGACGGGGGCCCGCACAAGCGGUGGAGCAUGUGGUUUAAUUCGAAGCUACGCGAAGAACCUUACCAGGUCUUGACAUACUAUGCAAAUCUAAGAGAUUAGACGUUCCCUUCGGGGACAUGGAUACAGGUGGUGCAUGGUUGUCGUCAGCUCGUGUCGUGAGAUGUUGGGUUAAGUCCCGCAACGAGCGCAACCCUUAUUAUCAGUUGCCAGCAUUAAGUUGGGCACUCUGGUGAGACUGCCGGUGACAAACCGGAGGAAGGUGGGGAUGACGUCAAAUCAUCAUGCCCCUUAUGACCUGGGCUACACACGUGCUACAAUGGAUGGUACAACGAGUUGCGAACUCGCGAGAGUAAGCUAAUCUCUUAAAGCCAUUCUCAGUUCGGAUUGUAGGCUGCAACUCGCCUACAUGAAGUCGGAAUCGCUAGUAAUCGCGGAUCAGCAUGCCGCGGUGAAUACGUUCCCGGGCCUUGUACACACCGCCCGUCACACCAUGAGAGUUUGUAACACCCAAAGUCGGUGGG